GAUGAACGCUGGCGGCGUGCCUAACACAUGCAAGUCGAACGAAGCACCUUACCUGAUUCUUCGGAUGAAAGUUUGGUGACUGAGUGGCGGACGGGUGAGUAACGCGUGGGUAACCUGCCCUGUACAGGGGGAUAACAGCUGGAAACGGCUGCUAAUACCGCAUAAGCGCACGAGGAGACAUCUCCUUGUGUGAAAAACUCCGGUGGUACAGGAUGGGCCCGCGUCUGAUUAGCUGGUUGGCAGGGUAACGGCCUACCAAGGCAACGAUCAGUAGCCGGUCUGAGAGGAUGAACGGCCACAUUGGAACUGAGACACGGUCCAAACUCCUACGGGAAGCAGCAGUGGGGAAUAUUGCACAAUGGGGGAAACCCUGAUGCAGCAACGCCGCGUGAGUGAAGAAGUAUUUCGGUAUGUAAAGCUCUAUCAGCAGGGAAGAUAAUGACGGUACCUGACGAAGAAGCUCCGGCUAAAUACGUG
rnacentral:rRNA from 1 species